GGAGCGGUAUCGAAGCGGUCAUAACGAGAACGACUCGAAAUCGUUUGACGGCCAAAAACCGUCCGUGGGUUCGAAUCCCACCCGCUCCGCCA
rnacentral:tRNA from 1 species